rnacentral:rRNA from 1 species
UACGUAGGGUGCAAGCGUUUAAUCGGAAUUACUGGGCGUAAAGCGUGCGCAGGCGGUUUUGUAAGUCUGUCGUGAAAGCCCCGGGCUCAACCUGGGAAUUGCGAUGGAGACUGCAAGGCUUGAAUCUGGCAGAGGGGGGGUAGAAUUCCACGUGUAGCAGUGAAAUGCGUAGAGAUGUGGAGGAACACCGGAUGGCGAAGGCAGCCCCCCUGGGUCAAGAUUGACGCUCAUGCACGAAAGCGUGGGGAGCAAACAGG